ACAAAUCUUUGAUAUCAAAACCAUAGACGUAUAUGUCUAUGAUCAAAACGGUUUCGUUCAACUAGCAAAUUAAAUGCUUGACAUUUUGGAUGCUACAAUAGGCAGCUUCAUGUCACACUAUGUUCAGUGUUGCCAACACUGCGCGCAAACUCAAAGGCUGUGAGAACUUUGCAACCGCUCACGGGGAAGGAGUUUCCAUCGAAAGCUACUAGCGAGGUUGUGUGAUGUUUUGGGUUUGGAAAUUUACCAACAUAAAUUUUAGCUACGACAGCAAAUGAGUUGGUCAACACCUAGUCAUUGCAUACAAUUGCAGUGCCUUCAAAUGAGAGGAGGAAGAAACAAAGAAGACGAGUGAAGGAGGCAGCUAGAGGCAGCGGUCGCCAAGACAGCAGGUUUAUCUGAGUGCGGGUCGCCCCGGCGAUGAAGCGGCUGCGGAAGUCACUCCGGUCUCGCCGGCUCGCCUGGCCCUUAUGAAACGGGAAUCGGCAGUUUCUGUACAUCACAAAGCCAAUCGCGCAGCGCCCCGCUCGCCCGCCACUUCGUUUGGCACGCCUCUGACCCGCGGAGGAGAGGAGGGAGACGUGUGGGGCAUAACGAGAGCCCGCCCCGUCACCUUUUUAGCAGGUGCGGCGGCGGUGUCCGCGGGAACGGAACGGAGUUCCGGGGACGUGUUCAGACGACUGCGUCCCACCAGGAUCCAUUUUCACAAGGGCUGUCACGCGUCGCACCAGCCUGAACCGCUGAAUGUGAACAAUGCAGUUAAUGUCUCCAUGUCACCGGUAAUGUGUGUGACAAGGCAGAUGGAUUUUGAGGUACCCCCCCCCCUCCAAGACAAAGUAUGUACGCAUCAGCGUUUUGUUGGAACGAUAUAAAACGACAGUCCGCUUUCAGGAGGGAAGAAUUAAUUAGCGGAUUCUUCAUGUUUGACAGCAAACGUAGAGGGUGUCCCUUUAAGGCGCUCCGCUCUUAAUAAUGCUAAUCCUAAAAUAAUCCCAAUAAUCCUGUCAGCGUUAUUGCUGGUGCACAUUUAAUUGUUGAUACUGUACAUACAAUAAACCAUCCUGACAACUGACAAAGUGAGUGCACAGCAUGGUCCCCAGACCUCCGUGCAUUAAGAUUCUGUUAAUGAAUGCCUCAGCAUUUUAAAAAGACUCCAGCUAUAGAAUUUUCAGGUAAUUAAAGUCUUAUUGCCACUGGGUGCAAAUCAUCUUCCAGGAAGACAGUUCUCAGAUUGAGUUUCUCCGGGGUGUAAAAGUGUCAAUUGACAGCUACCCUUGGGGCUGUUAAGAUCACGUUUUAAAAUAAGGAUUGCGACUGAGGUAAUAUAUGACAGCAGGCGAUAUUAAAAACAUACUGAAUAUGGAUAGUUUGUUUCCUCUUUUAUGCCCCGAGCUUAUGGUGCCUACUGCGUAAAUCUGAAUAUCUGACCGACUUUAAGUGCAAGACAAAAAAAAUAAAAAUAAAAUCUCAAAUAACCGGAUCAAACCUGGACUGUUUUUACAGCCUGGACAAUUUCUCUCUCCUUUAUCGUCAGCCUCUUUUGAUUGAUCCAGGCGUAGCAGAACCGAGUAGCCUGGGGUUUGGCUCAGGAACAGCUGCAAUUUCUCGCGCGUCCGCGUAUAUCCGAGAGGUAACACUAUCUUUUGCGUGGAGCGGGUAAUUCAUAGGUGCCGCUGACAGGUCCAGAGGCCCGUGCCACUCUCCCAUCCCUCUCCCCCCCCCUCGUCUGGAGCUACAGUUUUGCGCCGCGCGGAAUCGAUAGCUUCUUUUUCUCCCCAUCGAUCGGCCAGCAGUGGGACCGGCGUAAGCAGGUCUGUUAUGACAUUUCUAGAUUUCCUCCUGUCCUUGGAACAAUCAAU